CCUACGGGUGGCAGCAGUGGGGAAUAUUGCGCAAUGGGCGAAAGCCUGACGCAGCGACGCCGCGUGAGGGAUGAAGGUCUUCUGAUCGUAAAACUCUGUCAGCAGGGAAGAAAGGUCACUGUGCUAAUCGGCAUUGCAUUGACGGUACCUGCAAAGGAAGCACCGGCUAACUCCGUGCCAGAAGCCGCGGCAAGACGGCGGGGGCGUGCGUUAAUCGGAAUUAGUGGGCGGAAAGCGCUCGUAGGCGGUAUGUCAAGUCAAGGGUGAAAUCCCCGCGCUUAACGUGGGAACUGCACUUGAAACUGGCAAACUGGAGUGUGGUAGAGGAUAGUGGAAUUCCUGGUGUAGCAGUGAAAUCCGUAGAUAUCUGGAGGAACACCAGUGGCGAAGGCGACUAGCUGGAACAUAACUGACGCUGAGGAGCGAAAGCGUGGGUAGCAAACAGGAUUAGAUACCCCAGUAGUC
rnacentral:rRNA from 1 species